rnacentral:RNase_P_RNA from 1 species
CCAGCGGGCCGGGUGGCCGCUCCCGGCGACGGGGGAGGAAAGUCCGAACUCCACAGGGCAGGGUGCCGGCUAACGGCCGGGCGCUGCGAAGCGACGGAAAGUGCCACAGAAACAUACCGCCCGCCGCGGCGGGUAAGGGCGAAAUGGUGCGGUAAGAGCGCACCGGCGUCGUGGGGACACGGCGGCCGGGCAAACCCCACCCGGAGCAAGGCCAUAUAGGGGACCGCGUCCGCAAGGACUCAGGACGGCCCGUCCGAGCGUCCCGGGUUGGCCGCGCGAGCUGCGGGGCGACUCGCAGCCCAGAUAGAUGGCCACCGCCCGCAAGGGUACAGAAUUCGGCUUACAGGCCCGCUGGCACU